UUGAACGCUGGCGGCAGGCCUAACACAUGCAAGUCGAACGGUAACAGAAAGAAGCUUGCUUCUUUGCUGACGAGUGGCGGACGGGUGAGUAAUGUCUGGGAAACUGCCUGAUGGAGGGGGAUAACUACUGGAAACGGUAGCUAAUACCGCAUAACGUCGCAAGACCAAAGAGGGGGACCUUCGGGCCUCUUGCCAUCGGAUGUGCCCAGAUGGGAUUAGCUUGUUGGUGGGGUAACGGCUCACCAAGGCGACGAUCCCUAGCUGGUCUGAGAGGAUGACCAGCCACACUGGAACUGAGACACGGUCCAGACUCCUACGGGAGGCAGCAGUGGGGAAUAUUGCACAAUGGGCGCAAGCCUGAUGCAGCCAUGCCGCGUGUAUGAAGAAGGCCUUCGGGUUGUAAAGUACUUUCAGCGGGGAGGAAGGGAGUAAAGUUAAUACCUUUGCUCAUUGACGUUACCCGCAGAAGAAGCACCGGCUAACUCCGUGCCAGCAGCCGCGGUAAUACGGAGGGUGCAAGCGUUAAUCGGAAUUACUGGGCGUAAAGCGCACGCAGGCGGUUUGUUAAGUCAGAUGUGAAAUCCCCGGGCUCAACCUGGGAACUGCAUCUGAUACUGGCAAGCUUGAGUCUCGUAGAGGGGGGUAGAAUUCCAGGUGUAGCGGUGAAAUGCGUAGAGAUCUGGAGGAAUACCGGUGGCGAAGGCGGCCCCCUGGACGAAGACUGACGCUCAGGUGCGAAAGCGUGGUGAGCAAACAGGAUUAGAUACCCUGGUAGUCCACGCAGUAAACGAUGUCGACUUGGAUGUUGUGCCCUUGAGGCGUGGCUUCCGGAGCUAACGCGUUAAGUCGACCGCCUGGGGAGUACGGCCGCAAGGUUAAAACUCAAAUGAAUUGACGGGGGCCCGCACAAGCGGUGGAGCAUGUGGUUUAAUUCGAUGCAACGCGAAGAACCUUACCUGGUCUUGACAUCCACAGAACUUUCCAGAGAUGGAUUGGUGCCUUCGGGAACUGUGAGACAGGUGCUGCAUGGCUGUCGUCAGCUCGUGUUGUGAAAUGUUGGGUUAAGUCCCGCAACGAGCGCAACCCUUAUCCUUUGUUGCCAGCGGUCCGGCCGGGAACUCAAAGGAGACUGCCAGUGAUAAACUGGAGGAAGGUGGGGAUGACGUCAAGUCAUCAUGGCCCUUACGACCAGGGCUACACACGUGCUACAAUGGCGCAUACAAAGAGAAGCGACCUCGCGAGAGCAAGCGGACCUCAUAAAGUGCGUCGUAGUCCGGAUUGGAGUCUGCAACUCGACUCCAUGAAGUCGGAAUCGCUAGUAAUCGUGGAUCAGAAUGCCACGGUGAAUACGUUCCCGGGCCUUGUACACACCGCCCGUCACACCAUGGGAGUGGGUUGCAAAAGAAGUAGGUAGCUUAACCUUCGGGAGGGCGCUUACCACUUUGUGAUUCAUGACUGGGGUG
rnacentral:rRNA from 1 species